UCAACUUUGACAAAACAAUAAAGGAAAAAACGAAGACAGUAAAACAACCGUAUGGGUACGGUGUUUACCGGCUCGGCGUAAAACCAAUCAGGCAAGAGAUGACGGCGGUUAUAUAUGUAAUCACCGUUCUAAUGAGAAGACGAUCGUAAUCUCUGAGCUCAAAGAUGGAAAGCAGUAACCAGUCAAAAGUAUAACAACAACAGGGUGUUUCAGCAUCAAAAGGUCAAUGAUGGGGAGGCCGCUAGAAAUGUGAUCAACAAGGCUAGGGUCUGGUCGCUGCAUAGGAGGAAGAAUAUACCUUUCGGGUAUAUUUUCUUCACAUUUUUGGUUAAGUGCCAUGACGCUGGGAUAAUCAAGAACAAGUUCAGAUGACUAUGUGAAGUUAUUACAUCGAUAAAUCUCCCUGGCGGUGUUUCUCAAUCUGCAGAAAUAAGGCAAGUGGAUCUCAUAUAUGUUUUCCGACAUAUUUUUGUUUGUAUUUAACGUUAAUAAAUGCAAAGACUUCUUUCCUGCAAGUUUUGGCAAGAUCUUGUGUGCCAGUACCUAACUUAGGCGUAGUUGGUUUCUAUGUUAUUCAAGGUUGAAGUGAUAGUCUUUCACUUUAUAUUUUUUGGUAACUAACAUGAUUAAAAAAAAAAAUUCUGUUAGAAUUUAUUAACAUUGCACAAGUAGUUUAUUUAAAUUUAAUAUUUUUACAAGGAA